rnacentral:snRNA from 1 species
GUUCUGCCUCCCACAGCACGUACACUAAAUUGGAACAAUGCAGAGAAGAUUAGAUUAUGCCUCUGCACAAGGAGGACAUGCAGAUUCGUGAAGCAGCACUAACUGUA